AGGGAAUUUUCCGCAAUGGGCGAAAGCCUGACGGAGCAACGCCGCGUGAGUGAAGACGGCCUUCGGGUUGUAAAACUCUGUUCUUGGGGAAGAAAAAAAUGACGGUACCCAAGGAGAAAGCCCCGGCUAACUACGUGCCAGCAGCCGCGGUAAUACGUAGGGGGCGAGCGUUAUCCGGAUUUAUUGGGCGUAAAGCGCGCGCAGGCGGUCAGGUAAGUCGGAUGUGAAAGGCUACGGCUCAACCGUAGAGCGGCAUCCGAAACUGUUUGACUUGAGUGCAGGAGAGGAGAGUGGAAUUCCCGGUGUAGCGGUGGAAUGCGUAGAGAUCGGGAGGAACACCAGUGGCGAAGGCGACUCUCUGGACUGUAACUGACGCUGAGGCGCGAAAGCGUGGGGAGCAAAC
rnacentral:rRNA from 1 species